GACGAACGCUGGCGGCGUGCUUAACACAUGCAAGUCGAACGGAAAGGCCCUGCUUUUGUGGGGUGCUCGAGUGGCGAACGGGUGAGUAACACGUGAGUAACCUGCCCUUGACUUUGGGAUAACUUCAGGAAACUGGGGCUAAUACCGGAUAGGAGCUCCUGCUGCAUGGUGGGGGUUGGAAAGUUUCGGCGGUUGGGGAUGGACUCGCGGCUUAUCAGCUUGUUGGUGGGGUAGUGGCUUACCAAGGCUUUGACGGGUAGCCGGCCUGAGAGGGUGACCGGCCACAUUGGGACUGAGAUACGGCCCAGACUCCUACGGGAGGCAGCAGUGGGGAAUAUUGCACAAUGGGCGGAAGCCUGAUGCAGCAACGCCGCGUGCGGGAUGACGGCCUUCGGGUUGUAAACCGCUUUCGCCUGUGACGAAGCGUGAGUGACGGUAAUGGGUAAAGAAGCACCGGCUAACUACGUGCCAGCAGCCGCGGUGAUACGUAGGGUGCGAGCGUUGUCCGGAUUUAUUGGGCGUAAAGGGCUCGUAGGUGGUUGAUCGCGUCGGAAGUGUAAUCUUGGGGCUUAACCCUGAGCGUGCUUUCGAUACGGGUUGACUUGAGGAAGGUAGGGGAGAAUGGAAUUCCUGGUGGAGCGGUGGAAUGCGCAGAUAUCAGGAGGAACACCAGUGGCGAAGGCGGUUCUCUGGGCCUUUCUUGACGCUGAGGAGCGAAAGCGUGGGGAGCGAACAGGCUUAGAUACCCUGGUAGUCCACGCUGUAAACGGUGGGUACUAGGUGUGGGGUCCAUUCCACGGGUUCCGUGCCGUAGCUAACGCUUUAAGUACCCCGCCUGGGGAGUACGGCCGCAAGGCUAAAACUCAAAGGAAUUGACGGGGCCCCGCACAAGCGGCGGAGCAUGCGGAUUAAUUCGAUGCAACGCGUAGAACCUUACCUGGGUUUGACAUGGAUCGGGAGCGCUCAGAGAUGGGUGUGCCUCUUUUGGGGUCGGUUCACAGGUGGUGCAUGGCUGUCGUCAGCUCGUGUCGUGAGAUGUUGGGUUAAGUCCCGCAACGAGCGCAACCCUUGUUCACUGUUGCCAGCACGUUAUGGUGGGGACUCAGUGGAGACCGCCGGGGUCAACUCGGAGGAAGGUGGGGAUGACGUCAAGUCAUCAUGCCCCUUAUGUCCAGGGCUUCACGCAUGCUACAAUGGCUGGUACAGAGAGUGGCGAGCCUGUGAGGGUGAGCGAAUCUCGGAAAGCCGGUCUCAGUUCGGAUUGGGGUCUGCAACUCGACCUCAUGAAGUCGGAGUCGCUAGUAAUCGCAGAUCAGCAACGCUGCGGUGAAUACGUUCCCGGG
rnacentral:rRNA from 1 species